CCUCAAAAUCAAUAAUAUUAAAUACACCUUGCCAAUAAUAAAUAUUAGAAGAUAUCAUACUAAUUAAAUAUUUAUAAUAUAAUUUAUUUUAUCUGCAGCUGAGUGUAGAAAAUCUCUCUUUGAGCCCGUAUAACGUGAUGCCAAUCAAAAAACGUCAUGGAGGCAUAGCUGCGGUAUAUGAUGCCCAUUUCAAUCUGCCACGACUCGCACCAUCCCUUAAUGGACC
rnacentral:lncRNA from 1 species